UACAGAGGGGGCAAGCGUUGUUCGGAAUUACUGGGCGUAAAGGGCGCGUAGGCGGCCCGCUAAGUCGAACGUGAAAUCCCCGGGCUCAACCCGGGAACUGCGUCCGAUACUGGUGGGCUUGAAUCCGGGAGAGGGAUGCGGAAUUCCAGGUGUAGCGGUGAAAUGCGCAGAUAUCAGGAAGAACACCUAUGGCGAAGGCAGCUCUCUGGGACGGUACUGACGCUGAGACGCGAAAGCGUGGGGAGCGAACAGG
rnacentral:rRNA from 1 species